GACUCUUAAAGUCACACUAUUAGGUGGCGAAGUCUAAAACAUGAAGUACGCGAUGUUGCACGAAAAAGCUAUCACUUCGGAAGCAGCUUAUUUCCUUCGUGAUGUCUGCAUAUGUGAGUAAUAUUAUAGUCCAUACUCGUUCUCUUCUUUCCAUGAUCUCGUUCCUUAGUUGAAGCUUGUAUAUACAUUUUAGGUCGGCGUGUCCUAUGUUUAGGUUGCUAUGCAAAUCAAACUAUUAAAGUCAGUUAUCAUUUUCUUUGCGUUAUCCUUGAGAUUGAGGUUUAAAGAGCUGUGCUUGUGAUUUAGAAACAAAUGGGUGCUAUGACAUGAUGGAAGUGGGGUAAUAUAUGGGACAGUUAGUUGCUUGGUGUUGUGCUUGUGUUACUUUUCAAAAGAGAUGGUUAUGUUACCUUUGCAUGAAGAAGUUGUUUUUGCAUAUCCAGGGAAGUGUAUUUUAGGUUUUGACACCGGCUCAGGUAUGUUAAGGUUAAACUCUUCCUUUAUUUUGGCAUGAUCUCGUCGUUACACAAGUUUGAUAACGAGUCAUAAAGAAAAAUUCAUAUCCCAGAAUUUACGUAUAUUUUGUUAGUCUCGCAAAUUGCGUAUAUUUUCCUAGUUUUGUAAGUUAUAUCCUUAUCGGGACUUCAUAUUCAGUUGAGUAUUUCCUUCUCUCGGUCAAGAGAGCAAAGAGUUUAUAUAUACAGUAUUAAAAGUAUUUUCAUUACCAUCGAGCUAUAAUCGAUGGGAAGGCCCCUAUUGGGCAACCUCUGAUCAGAUGGUAAGUUAUAUAUCGAGCCUACUAUGGCGGAGCGCUUAGGAGCAAGCCCAGUUAGUCGAGAUACAGAGCCUAGUAUGGCCGAGUGCCUAUGAGCGAGCCUACUACGGCAGAGUAGUUAUAUAUAUAUAUAUAUAUACCGAGCCUUAUAGGGUCGGACAUCUAUUUUACUUACUAUUGAGAGAGUUGAGACAGUAUCAACGGGUAAGCAUAUCUUCAAAUGAUCUUUGACUUCCAGCUAUUUGCAGUUAUUAUAUUAUCAGUUGAAUUUCAGCUUUCAGUAUAUUGCCUUACAUACUUGGUACAUUAUUUUGUACUGACGUCCUUUUGUUUGGGACACUGCGUUUCAUGCCCGCAGGUAUAGACAAUCAGUUUGACGAUCCCUCAUAGUAGAUGAGAUUGGCAUGCAACAAAGGAUCGGUAAGACUACCUCAUUCGGAGUGCAGCCGAGUCUAUGAGUCAUCGUGUCAGAAUUUUACUAUAUACUUAUGGGUCAGCCGGUACCCUAUCCCAUUUUAUGUCAAAUAAUCUAGAGGCUUUGUCGACACAGAGGUUUAUUAUGUACAGUAUGUUAGAAGCCUUGACGGCCCAUAUGUAUUUAUAUUUUAUGAAAGAUGGUUCAUUGAUAUAACAUUUAAC
rnacentral:lncRNA from 1 species